UGUAAUGAUGAUUCAUCAGACUAGAGUCUCUGAGAACAUGAUGUUGUUUAAAGUGCACUGAACA
ensembl:snoRNA Small nucleolar RNA SNORD52